UGGGGAAUUUUGGACAAUGGGCGAAAGCCUGAUCCAGCAAUGCCGCGUGUGUGAAGAAGGCCUUCGGGUUGUAAAGCACUUUUGUCCGGAAAGAAAUCCUCUGGGUUAAUACCUCGGGGGGAUGACGGUACCGGAAGAAUAAGCACCGGCUAACUACGUGCCAGCAGCCGCGGUAAUACGUAGGGUGCAAGCGUUAAUCGGAAUUACUGGGCGUAAAGCGUGCGCAGGCGGUUUUGUAAGACGGAUGUGAAAUCCCCGGGCUUAACCUGGGAACUGCAUUCGUGACUGCAAGGCUAGAGUAUGGCAGAGGGGUGUAGAAUUCCACGUGUAGCAGUGAAAUGCGUAGAGAUGUGGAGGAAUACCGAUGGCGAAGGCAGCCCCCUGGGCCAAUACUGACGCUCAUGCACGAAAGCGUGGGGAGCAAAC
rnacentral:rRNA from 1 species